GCAUGGAUUUAAAUCUACACGCCAAGAGAGAGACUCUUAGGCAUGUGGUUCCCUAGUUUUUGGCACCCAACAGCAAGCCCAAUUAAAACACUUCAAACCCAUUUCAAGACCAAAUCCAAUUUGGCUUAAAUUGGUUCUAAAUUAGCCCAAAUCGAAACCCGAUUCGAAUUCGAUUCGAAUCUAAAUGCUAGGGUUUGCAACAUGUGCUAGCAUGUUCAACUUGCAAAUAUGGUUUAAUCAAAUUAAAUCCAUGAUCAAUUCUCUUUGUGUGUGACCCA
rnacentral:lncRNA from 1 species